GAGUUUGAUCAUGGCUCAGAUUGAACGCUGGCGGCAGGCCUAACACAUGCAAGUCGAACGGUAACAGGAAGCAGCUUGCUGCUUUGCUGACGAGUGGCGGACGGGUGAGUAAUGUCUGGGAAACUGCCCGAUGGAGGGGGAUAACUACUGGAAACGGUAGCUAAUACCGCAUAACGUCGCAAGACCAAAGAGGGGGACCUUAGGGCCUCUUGCCAUCGGAUGUGCCCAGAUGGGAUUAGCUAGUAGGUGGGGUAAUGGCUCACCUAGGCGACGAUCCCUAGCUGGUCUGAGAGGAUGACCAGCCACACUGGAACUGAGACACGGUCCAGACUCCUACGGGAGGCAGCAGUGGGGAAUAUUGCACAAUGGGCGCAAGCCUGAUGCAGCCAUGCCGCGUGUAUGAAGAAGGCCUUCGGGUUGUAAAGUACUUUCAGCGGGGAGGAAGGGAGUAAAGUUAAUACCUUUGCUCAUUGACGUUACCCGCAGAAGAAGCACCGGCUAACUCCGUGCCAGCAGCCGCGGUAAUACGGAGGGUGCAAGCGUUAAUCGGAAUUACUGGGCGUAAAGCGCACGCAGGCGGUUUGUUAAGUCAGAUGUGAAAUCCCCGGGCUCAACCUGGGAACUGCAUCUGAUACUGGCAAGCUUGAGUCUCGUAGAGGGGGUAGAAUUCCAGGUGUAGCGGUGAAAUGCGUAGAGAUCUGGAGGAAUACCGGUGGCGAAGGCGGCCCCCUGGACGAAGACUGACGCUCAGGUGCGAAAGCGUGGGGAGCAAACAGGAUUAGAUACCCUGGUAGUCCACGCCGUAAACGAUGUCGACUUGGAGGUUGUGCCCUUGAGGCGUGGCUUCCGGAGCUAACGCGUUAAGUCGACCGCCUGGGGAGUACGGCCGCAAGGUUAAAACUCAAAUGAAUUGACGGGGCCCGCACAAGCGGUGGAGCAUGUGGUUUAAUUCGAUGCAACGCGAAGAACCUUACCUGGUCUUGACAUCCACGGAAGUUUUCAGAGAUGAGAAUGUGCCUUCGGGAACCGUGAGACAGGUGCUGCAUGGCUGUCGUCAGCUCGUGUUGUGAAAUGUUGGGUUAAGUCCCGCAACGAGCGCAACCCUUAUCCUUUGUUGCCAGCGGUCCGGCCGGGAACUCAAAGGAGACUGCCAGUGAUAAACUGGAGGAAGGUGGGGAUGACGUCAAGUCAUCAUGGCCCUUACGACCAGGGCUACACACGUGCUACAAUGGCGCAUACAAAGAGAAGCGACCUCGCGAGAGCAAGCGGACCUCAUAAAGUGCGUCGUAGUCCGGAUUGGAGUCUGCAACUCGACUCCAUGAAGUCGGAAUCGCUAGUAAUCGUGGAUCAGAAUGCCACGGUGAAUACGUUCCCGGGCCUUGUACACACCGCCCGUCACACCAUGGGAGUGGGUUGCAAAAGAAGUAGGUAGCUUAACCUUCGGGAGGGCGCUUACCACUUUGUGAUUCAUGACUGGGGUGAAGUCGUAACAAGGUAACCGUAGGGGAACCUGCGGUUGGAUCACC
rnacentral:rRNA from 1 species